AUGGUGUUGAUUAGUAUUGGACUCGGAAUAUGGAUUAAAAACAUAUUGAUUGCAGGGAAGUGGAUUAAAAAAUUGUUAACUAUUACAUAUUUGAAAAAUGGUUUCAUAUUGGAGAUUCUCUGAAACUUCAUUUUCGAUUUAGCAAGCAUUAAGAACUUGUUUUUGCUCUUUUCUUUCUCUCUGAAACUUCUAAUGACUAACUGAUUAGAUCCUCAAGCAUUUGCAUAACAUUAUCUGUGCUUUUGGAUCAGAUCUGAGUGUACUGCACCCGCUGUAAUAACAACUCAAGUGUAUUCGGUCCUUGGUUUGAAUUGAGGUUUUUUAAGGAUGGACGGGUCUAGUAGCCAAUCUAGUACACCUAAGGUCUCGGUAUUAGGAAAAAGAAAACAAACCCAACCUAGUGGUACCCUUCAACUAGGCAC
rnacentral:sRNA from 1 species